CUUAUCUGUCUGACCGACACAAUAGGAUAGAGUCCAGAUAUCUAAAAGAGGGAGGGAGAGAGAGGGAGAAAGUUUCCAAGUUGGAAAUUCCAGAGUAGCCUUUUCAUGCCCAGGCAGCGUCAUAACGAUGAAUUCCGGUCUUUGACCGUUGUUGUAGUGUGGGUUGGUGUAUAUAUAUAUAUGCACAGAGUACCAGAGAGCAGUAUCAUUUCAUCCACUGGAUACGACUAGAAACAUAUCCUUUGGAGAUUUACCUGCAAAAGAGCAUCACAUUUUAAACUUACAAUGGACUUCUGCUCUGCAUCACAACAAGCCAGAAGCCCCAGCUCAUGGAUCACCUUCUUCCUCCUGUACUCAAUUGUCACCAUGUGCACUAGAGUAGAGGGCUGGUCCUACCAUCACUCCAACAAAACUAUGAACUGGGACACAGCUAGAAAGUGGUGCACGGAGCACUACACUGACAUGGUGGCCAUCCAGAACCGUGGAGAGAUCUCCCACCUUAACAGCAUCCUGCCCAGGCAGAACAACUAUUACUGGAUAGGGAUCCGUAAGGUGGACGACGUGUGGACCUGGGUGGGGACCAAUAAGACCCUGACUAAAGAGGCAGAGAACUGGGCAGACGGGGAACCCAACAACGGGGGGAACAACGAGGAUUGCGUGGAGAUGUACAUCAAGAGAGAGGCGGACAAAGGGAAGUGGAACGAUGAGUCGUGUAUGAAGAAGAAGACGGCUCUGUGCUUCACAGCCUCGUGUCAGAGCGACUCAUGUUACCAUGGAGAGUGUGUGGAGACCAUCAACAGCCACCGCUGUAAAUGCUUUGAGGGCUUCUACGGUGAACAGUGUGAACACGUUGUUGAAUGUAAGAUGGAGGAGGUCCCUGCUAAAGCCAGUGUCAGUUGCUCUCACCCCAAUGGGAAUUUCUCCUUUGACUCGACGUGUCAGUAUUCCUGUGAAGAGGGGUACCGGCUGAGCAGCCCCGGGCCUGUGAGAUGCACAGCCUCAGAAUCAUGGUCAGAACAGCCUCCCACCUGUGAAUUGGUCUUAUGCAGUGAGCUGUAUGAACCUGGGAAGGGUUCCAUGGCCUGCUCCCAUCCCCUGGGCUCCUUCAGCUACCUGUCCACCUGUACCUUUACCUGUGAGGAGGGCUAUGAGAGGCUGGCCUCCAGCUCUGCUACCCUGCAGUGUGGAGCCUCGGGACAGUGGAACGACUCACAGCCGCAGUGUGUUGCUGUAAGCUGCCCUACCCUCCAGCAGCCAAAGGAUGGCGCUAUCACCUGUGGAGAAGACUUCACCUAUGGAAGCAGCUGUAACUUUAGCUGCUCUGAGGGUUAUCUCCUCAAGGGGGCGAUCACGGUGACCUGCACAUCAGCUGCUGAGUGGAGUGAGGAGAUACCACACUGUGAAGUGGCCUUAUGCAGUGAGCUGUAUGAACCUGGGAAGGGUUCCAUGGCCUGCUCCCAUCCCCUGGGCUCCUUCAGCUACCUGUCCACCUGUACCUUUACCUGUGAGGAGGGCUAUGAGAGGCUGGCCUCCAGCUCUGCUACCCUGCAGUGUGGAGCCUCGGGACAGUGGAACGACUCACAGCCGCAGUGUGUUGCUGUAAGCUGCCCUACCCUCCAGCAGCCAAAGGAUGGCGCUAUCACCUGUGGAGAAGACUUCACUUAUGGAAGCAGCUGUAACUUUAGCUGCUCUGAGGGUUAUCUCCUCAAGGGGGCGAUCACGGUGACCUGCACAUCAGCUGCUGAGUGGACUGAGAAGAUACCACACUGUGAAGCUGUCCAGUGUCCCUCUCCUGUGGUUCCUCUGGGGGGUCAGGUCAGCUGUGAGGCCCCCUCACAUCCUUGGGGCUCUGUCUGCAACUUCAGCUGUGAUGAGGGCUAUGAUCUCCAGGGGGCCCCAAACAUGCAGUGUUCACGGUCAGGGAAGUGGAGCGCUGACACACCUACCUGCACAGCCACACCUGAGCCUCCAUUGAACCCCACUAUCCUAGGCCUGGCAGCAGGGGGCGCUGUGUCAUUAUCUGUCCUGUCUCUGGCCGCAUGGCUCCUCAAACGAAUAAGACAGAAAGCUAACAAGUUUGAUCUGAACAGCACCUCAGACAUUGAGGAACCUUUACAGACCUACAGGAACAGCAUCGACAGCCUCAUAUGCUUCUGCUCUGCAUCACAGCAAGCCAGAAGCCCCAGCUCAUGGAUCAACCUUUUCCUCCUGUACUCAAUUGUCACCAUGUGGACUAGAGUAGACGGCUGGUCCUACCAUCACUCCAACAAAACUAUGAACUGGGACACUGCUAGAAAGUGGUGCACGGAGCACUACACUGACAUGGUGGCCAUCCAGAACCGUGGAGAGAUCUCCCACCUUAACAGCAUCCUGCCCAGGCAGACCAACUAUUACUGGAUAGGGAUCCGUAAGGUGGACGACAUGUGGACCUGGGUGGGGACCAAUAAGACCCUGACUAAAGAGGCAGAGAACUGGGCAGACGGGGAACCCAACAACGGGGGGAACAACGAGGAUUGUGUGGAGAUGUACAUCAAGAGAGGACAGAGGGAAAUGGAACGACGUUCGUGUAUGAAGAAGAAGAUGGCUCUGUGCUUCACAGCCUCGUGUCAGAGCGACUCAUGUUACCAUGGAGUGUGUGUGGAGACCAUCAACAGCCACCGCUGUAAAUGCUUUGAGGGCUCCUACGGAGAGCAGUGUGAACACGUUGUUGAAUGAAAGAUGGAGGAGGUCCCUGUCCCUGCUAAAGCCAGUGUCAGUUGCUCUCACCCCAAUUGGAAUCUGUCCUUUGACUUGACGUGUCAGUAUUCCUGUGAAGAGGGGUACCGGCUGAGCAGCUCCGGGCCUGUGAGAUGCACAGCCUCAGAAUCAUGGUCGGAACAGCCUCCCACAUGUGAAUUGGCCUUAUGCAGUGAGCUGUAUGAACCUGGGAAGGGUUCCAUGGCCUGCUCCCAUCCCCUGGGCUCCUUCAGCUACCUGUCCACCUGUACCUUUACCUGUGAGGAGGGCUAUGAGAGGCUGGCCUCCAGCUCUGCUACCCUGCAGUGUGGAGCCUCGGGACAGUGGAACGACUCACAGCCGCAGUGUGUUGAACUCUUUACCUGUUUUCCUUUGUCGACAGUUGUUGAAUGUAAGAUGGAGGAGGUCCCUGCUAAAGCCAGUGUCAGUUGCUCUCACCCCAAUGGGAAUUUCUCCUUUGACUCGACGUGUCAGUAUUCCUGUGAAGAGGGGUACCGGCUGAGCAGCCCCGGGCCUGUGAGAUGCACAGCCUCAGAAUCAUGGUCAGAACAGCCUCCCACCUGUGAAUUGGUCUUAUGCAGUGAGCUGUAUGAACCUGGGAAGGGUUCCAUGGCCUGCUCCCAUCCCCUGGGCUCCUUCAGCUACCUGUCCACCUGUACCUUUACCUGUGAGGAGGGCUAUGAGAGGCUGGCCUCCAGCUCUGCUACCCUGCAGUGUGGAGCCUCGGGACAGUGGAACGACUCACAGCCGCAGUGUGUUGCUGUAAGCUGCCCUACCCUCCAGCAGCCAAAGGAUGGCGCUUUCACCUGUGGAGAAGACUUCACCUAUGGAAGCAGCUGUAACUUUAGCUGCUCUGAGGGUUAUCUCCUCAAGGGGGCGAUCACGGUGACCUGCACAUCAGCUGCUGAGUGGAGUGAGGAGAUACCACACUGUGACGCUGUCCAGUGCCCCUCUCCUGUGGUUCCUCUGGGGGGGUCAGGUCAGCUGUGAGGCACCCUCACAUCCUUGGGGCUGUCUGCAACUUCAGCUGUGAUGAGGGCUAUGAUCACCAGGGGGCCCCAAACAUGCAGUGUUCACGGUCAGGGAAGUGGAGCGCUGACACACCUACCUGCACAGCCACACCUGAGCCUCCAUUGAACCCCACUAUCCUAGGCCUGGCAGCAGGGGGCGCUGUGUCAUUAUCUGUCCUGUCUCUGGCCACAUGGCUCCUCAAACGAAUAAGACAGAAAGAUUUGAACAGCAUCGACAGCCUCAUAUAAAGACCAAUAACAAUAACAGCAGGAACAACUGCAGGAACAACUACAGGAACAGGCUGGCUCUGUUUUCAAAGAAGAUCUGCUGGUCACACCUGGAUCACAGUUCCUCAGUAUUGUAAUGUAGUAGGUUAGAUAGCCUUGAAUCGUCUGACUGAGAGAGAGGUGCUACGUUGAGUAUACAGAAUCAUCUGUUCUCAUGAUGGUCCUACAGAAAAUGUCUUUUUUCUCCCUAAGGGAGUUUUGUAUUGAACAGAUUGUUCACCAUUGGCUGGUAUAUGACCACAAGCGGACACAUUUCUUAUGAUACUGAUUUUGACAGCUACUUUAUACAAACUACAGAAAGUUGUAUAUUUUAUUCCCCUGUAUAAUUAUUUGUAUUAUCAUAAAUAUAUUUUUAUGAUUUUACAAAACUGUGAAAUCAAUGCCUUUCAGUAUUUAAGUUAUAUUUAUUUUUAAACCACAGUCUGUGUGUUACAGAAUUACAUUUGAUGUUGAAAAAGUGUCUUUUUAAAUAUAAUAAACGUUUCAAACAUUGU